UGGCGACCGGCGCACGGGUGAGUAACGCGUAUGCAACUUACCUAUCAGAGGGGGAUAGCCCGGCGAAAGUCGGAUUAAUACCCCAUAAAACAGGGGUCCCGCAUGGGAAUAUUUGUUAAAGAUUCAUCGCUGAUAGAUAGGCACGCGUUCCAUUAGGCAGUUGGCGGGGUAACGGCCCACCAAACCGACGAUGGAUAGGGGUUCUGAGAGGAAGGUCCCCCACAUUGGUACUGAGACACGGACCAA
rnacentral:rRNA from 1 species